rnacentral:rRNA from 1 species
GACGAACGCUGGCGGCGUGCUUAACACAUGCAAGUCGAACGGAAAGGCCCUGCUUUUGUGGGGUGCUCGAGUGGCGAACGGGUGAGUAACACGUGAGUAACCUGCCCUUGACUUUGGGAUAACUUCAGGAAACUGGGGCUAAUACCGGCUAGGAGCUCCUGCUGCAUGGUGGGGGUUGGAAAGCUUAGGUGGUAGGGGAUGGACUCGCGGCUUAUGAGCUUGUUGGUGGGGUAGUGGCUUACCAAGGCUUUGAAGGGUAGCCGGCCUGAGAGGUGGGACGGCGACAUUGGGACUGAGGUACGGAGCAGAGGGCAACGGUGGGCAGAGGGGGGAAACAUGGCACAAUGGGGGGAAGCGUGAGGCAGAGGCGCCGCGAGCGGGAUGAAGGCCAUCGGGUUGUGAACCGCAUUAACCUGAGACGAAGCGUGAGUGACGGUAAUGGGUGAAGAAGCACCGGCUAACUACGUG